AGCACUCUUCCCACAGGGAAGUGCUGGCAAAUGUAAGUCCGACGUGCCUUUUGGCACUGGCCUGCCCUGCAGGCUUGGGAUUAC
rnacentral:ncRNA from 1 species